rnacentral:rRNA from 1 species
AGCAGUAGCCACGGUAAUACGUAGGGUGCGAGCGUUAAUCGGAAUUACUGGGCGUAAAGCGUGCGUAGGCGGUGAGUUAAGUCUGCUGUGAAAUCCCCGGGCUCAACCUGGGAAUGGCAGUGGAUACUGGCUCGCUAGAGUGUGUCAGAGGAUGGUGGAAUUCCCGGUGUAGCGGUGAAAUGCGUAGAGAUCGGGAGGAACAUCAGUGGCGAAGGCGGCCAUCUGGGCCAACACUGACGCUCAUGCACGAAAGCGUGGGGAGCAAACAGGAUUAGAGACCCCUGUAGUCCCUGUCUCUUAUAC